CAGUGGUGCAUUAAGUUUGAGUAAGUGUUGCAGGAGUUUAAGUCUUCUGAAACAACGUGCUAUGGAAAGAUGAGGCAGAGACAGAGUUCUAAAGACGUGCAGGAACACACCUUUCAUAUAGACAGGCGCGACUAAUUUUGCCUGAAGGCAACUAGAAACAACUGUUGUGCAGCCAUGUGGAACCACAGUUACAGCAAACUGUGACUUGAUUUCCAUACCUGGACAUGCUACAAAACUGGUUGUUUCCCCAACUUCAAGAAGAUUCGAAUGACUUAAUUUUCAAGCAAGAUGGUGCCCCACCUCAUUUCCACUUGGAGGUCCAGUGUUACCUGAACAACACCAUUCCAGGACGAUGGAUUGGAAGAGGUGGACAACAAAAUCUUGCUCAUCAAAUAUGGCCUCCCAGGUCUUCAGACCUUACCCCUAGCAAUUUUUAUCUAUGGGUGUACAUUAAAGAAAGAGUGUUUGUUCCACCUAUGCCCGCUAAUCUUCAAGAUCUGUGACAUCGAAUUGAGGAAGCUGUGAAUUCAGUAGCUAAGGGACCAGUUGACUCAUGCUUUCGAGUUUUAGAUUUAUGCUUUUGGUGCUUGGGUUUUCAUCAUUGAGGAAUCCAAACUGAGUAUUAGGUUGUAUUUUUCUUUUGUAAUUAUGAUAAUUGAAAUGUAUUUGUAAUGUUUUGGAUAAGAUUUCAUUUUUUACAGGCACCACUAGGUUUAUGGGGUUUUGAUUCCCCAUUGCUAUUGUUCUGGAUCCUGAAAAUUCUCUUCAUGUCAUACUGCUAGCAUGAUGGAAAAGAAGUUCACUUCUGACAUCAUAUAUCUGUCUGAGGUUGUUUUUCUUACAGUCGUAACACUCCUAACUUUAAAGAUUGUGUAAUAUACAAUAUAUUCUAAUAUACAAAGCAAAUGUAAAACAAACUAACCCUGAACUUUACAACUAAAAAACUUUAAUAAAAUAAACAAACAUUGGCAGAAGUUAAA